rnacentral:rRNA from 1 species
UAGGGAAUCUUCGGCAAUGGACGGAAGUCUGACCGAGCAACGCCGCGUGAGUGAAGAAGGUUUUCGGAUCGUAAAGCUCUGUUGUUAGAGAAGAACGUUGGUAGGAGUGGAAAAUCUACCAAGUGACGGUAACUAACCAGAAAGGGACGGCUAACUACGUGCCAGCAGCCGCGGUAAUACGUAGGUCCCGAGCGUUGUCCGGAUUUAUUGGGCGUAAAGCGAGCGCAGGCGGUUCUUUAAGUCUGAAGUUAAAGGCAGUGGCUUAACCAUUGUACGCUUUGGAAACUGGAGGACUUGAGUGCAGAAGGGGAGAGUGGAAUUCCAUGUGUAGCGGUGAAAUGCGUAGAUAUAUGGAGGAACACCGGUGGCGAAAGCGGCUCUCUGGUCUGUAACUGACGCUGAGGCUCGAAAGCGUGGGGAGCAAACAGGAUUAGAUACCCUGGUAGUCCACGCCGUAAACGAUGAGUGCUAGGUGUUAGGCCCUUUCCGGGGCUUAGUGCCGCAGCUAACGCAUUAAGCACUCCGCCUGGGGAGUACGACUGCAAGGUU